rnacentral:rRNA from 1 species
UACAGAGGAGCCAAGCGUUGUCCGGAUUGACUGGGCGUAAAGCGCACGCAGGCGGUUUGGCGCGUGGGGUGUGAAAUCUGGCCGCUUAACGGCCAGGCGCCAUCCCAUACGGCUAGACUGGAGUGAUGCAGAGGUCGGUGGAAUUGCCGGUGUAGUGGUGAAAUGCGUAGAGAUCGGCAGGAACACCAGCGGCGAAGGCGGCGCUCUGGGCCGGAACUGACGCUGAGGAGCGAAAGCGUGGGGAGCAAACAGG